GGUGUCCCCCCCAGUGGGCGCUGGUGUGAACAGCAACAGCUGGACCUUUAAAUAUGGACCUGGCAAUCCCAAACAAGCUGGUCCCGACUCUAAAAAGCAGACACAAGUUUCCUUUCUCCUACGCCGAAAAGGAGAAUCUUCACAGUACAGCCAGUGAGAGGUUGGACUCUCUGCAUUGUGAUUCCUGUGAUCCUGUCUUGAUGACACUUACAGGACAAGUUUAAAAGUUUUAAUAUUGUGCACCCUGUGUCUGAUUGGAAACAUUUGUGUGCAGAUGUGAGCUAGGUGAUACAAGAUCAGAUUAUAAAUGCAAGAAGAGCUGGUAAAAUAAGAACAACAAAGGAAACACCUAAUGAAUGUAGUGGUCAGAGAUGUUCAGGCUGGGGAGGAAAUGUCUCAAAGGAGAUGACCAGAUUUUUUGAAUAUAGAUACUAGGUGUGUGGAAUACUGAGUCUUUUGCAUGACGUAUUGUACACACUCCUGCAAAGAAAAGCUCACAUUUACAGCUCUUUAAGAUACCAUAAAGUAUAACUCUCACCAAGCCAUUGGCUAUAUUGUCAUUAUAAGUCCUGAGUAUCCUAGCAAGGAUGUCCCUCAAAGUGGGACGACAAGGGAUGGGCUGACAUCUAGGGAGCGUAACUGACUGUGAUGUUUCCUGUGCAUCCCUGUUUCCAGUCUAUUUAACAUUCUUUUGCACUUAAUGUCUCUGAAAAGGUCAGAGUAUUUUCCACAACAGAUAUGCAAAAGUGAGAAAAAAGAAACACAUUAUCUAUGCUUUUUGUUAUUUGAUAUAUUUAUUUAUAAAGAAAAUAUAGCUGUAAAUGUUAAAGAAAUAUGAUGCCCUUUAACCCAAACAGAAGUCAAUCUACAGCUACUAGAAAUUAUAAUUGCUGCUAUAAAAGUGCUUUAGAGAAAAUGCCUGAAACACCUGUAUUAUAUCGGCCACUUGCCAAUCACAGCUUUAUUCUGUUGGGUCACUCGGGCGCUGCCUCUUGCAUGUAUUAAUAAAUACAAGAAUAUAAUUUUUUGCAUUAAUCUGCACUUUGAAUACACAACAUUUGCAAACAAACUGUCCUAAUAUAAAGAAGCAGAAGCAAACGAUUUCUCACACAAGAUCUACUAACCUGCUAGCUCUGUGCAGUGUCUUGGUGUUAUCUCCCACACAACGUUUUUUGGUUUUAGUUUUACUUUUCAAUGAGGUUAUGAAUUGCUGACCCUAUUAACACUCAUUAUGUAAAAUUCAAGUACUGUCUGUAUGCUGUAUGCUCUUACAAGAAUCCUAAAAUAUUUAUUCUGUGCUUGUGUAUGUGAAUGUCAAUGGAACUAUUACCUAGAGUGGACUUUAAGCUUUAUUGUUGAAUGUAAAUCCAUUCUUUCUUUUUUGUACACUUGUGGAAAAGUGGAGUAAUGUUAAUUUUUUAAGCCACUGUUGGUUAUUGGUUUUUGUGUAUGAAACACAAGUAAAAUAUCUUUCUUAAAUCAA